CUGCGCAGACGCUUCUCCUCUCGUGCCUGGUCGCGCCCUUUGCGCCUGCCCUUACUUGCCUCAGGUUUCACCACUCACCCACCAACACACCAGUAGCGUCCACAUCAUCAACACUAAACCCAUCAGUUGUCACCACUCCAAAAUCUGCCAACCCAGCAUGGAAGGCGGCGGCACCCGGGUUCUGGCCAGCGACAGAGCCCAUGCACAGACCACGAUUGCCAUCCACACCACGCUGCGUUGCGCAAAGUAAAGGCCAGCCGCCGGCGACUGCGAGCAGGACACAUCAGCCUCUCCCAGCCGCCAAGGCGUACAUGGCGCCAAACAACCCGACGUGCGCCAGAGCCACAUUCGGGGGCUCCCGCGUCGGGGGCCGCCGCCAAUGCUUUUUAACACACCGCGGUCUUCAGUGUACAGGUAUCAGGACUGGACGCUGCGCGCCAUGUCGCCUGUCAGCAAGCAACACGUCAGCCAGCGCCGGUCUUGGGCCGGCCGAGCAAACGGCGGCCAGGCCAUUUACAGGCGGGCCAGGUCGUUCUGCCAGACGGUGGUCGACCA
rnacentral:lncRNA from 1 species